rnacentral:rRNA from 1 species
GCGCCCCGCGCCCGUCCCGCCGCCCCCGCCCGACGGGGUGCAGCAGGCGCGAAAACUUCACACUGCAGGCAACUGUGAUGAGGGAACUCCAAGUGACUGCACAAUGUGUAGCCUUUUCUUGACUGUUAANNNNUCUUGGAAUAAGGGCUGGGAAAGACCGGUGCCAGCCGCCGCGGUAAUACCGGCAGCUCAAGUGGUCGUCGUUUUUAUUGGGCCUAAAACGUCCGUAGCCUGUUCAGUAAAUCCGUGGGUAAAUCAACCAGCUUAACUGGUUGAAUUCUGCGGAGACUGCNNGACUAGGGACCGGGAGAGGUAUGAGGUACUCUCAGGGUAGGGGUAAAAUCCUGUCAUCCUGAGAGGACCACCUGUUGCGAAGGCGUCAUACUGGAACGGAUCCGACGGUCAGGGACGAAGCCUAGGGGCACGAACCGGAUUAGAUACCCGGGUAGUCCUAGGUGUAAACGCUGUGGACUUGGUGUUGGAGAUCCNUCAUGGGUCUUCAGUGCCGCAGNGAAGGUGUUAANUCCACUNCCUNGNU